CAGAUACAGAGUAAACACAUUUCUCAACAUUCUUGGGACUGCUCCACUUGCUGAGACUAUUGGUGUUUACACUUGCAUUAGAAGGGCCUGAGGAAUGCAACUGAAUAAGCCAUGCAAUGUUGAAGAUUGAGAUUUUGUUGCCUGAGAUGAGAGCUGGCUGUCAUGGCACUGACUGUGUCCUUGCUCAUCACAAGGAAAACCCAAUAAAAGCCUUAGUGCUGGUGUGUUGCAGUCAGCAACCUCAGGAUCUCGUCCAGAGAAGCUGCAGGGUUCUGGGGACCAGCAUGGAACACCAACGAGCCGGGCUCCUGUUCAUGAAACCAUUUAUUCAGCACGGGAACAAAGUCAGGUCCAGAACAGAGAGCCCUGAACAGAGGCACAGCAGGGGUUUUUGAGGGACAGAACUCUUAAGGGUUUCCACCUUUAAGGGUGGAGUUCAGGGUCAGGGACCAGUAGAAGCACAGCAAGGGAGAACCCCCAGCGACUCAAACCCAAUCAGAACACCUGGGCCGCCCUUCACAAGGGGUUUGGGGUGGGACAAUGCAACUCUUUGUCUCCCCUGAGGCACACUGCCACACUGGUGAACUUCACCAUAGACAGGUUAGGUACUGUAAUAGCCUGACCAGAGAUCCGUGAGAUACUGUGUCAUUACAGCAUUUCCAGAAUCAGAGUGGGAAUAACAUUUUCUAAUUUAGUACAUAUUUUCUG
rnacentral:lncRNA from 1 species